rnacentral:rRNA from 1 species
AUUGAACGCUGGCGGCACGCCUAACACAUGCAAGUCGAGCGGCAGCGAGACUAGUAGCAAUACUAGUUGUCGGCGAGCGGCGGACGGGUGAGUAACACGUAGGAAUCUGCCCUUAAGCGGGGGAUAACCAAGGGAAACUUUGGCUAAUACCGCAUAAUCUCGAGAGAGCAAAGCUGCCCGCAAGGGUGGCACUUGAGGAGGAGCCUGCGUCCGAUUAGCUAGUUGGUGGGGUAAUGGCCUACCAAGGCGAUGAUCGGUAACUGGUCUGAGAGGACGACCAGUCACACUGGGACUGAGACACGGCCCAGACUCCUACGGGAGGCAGCAGUGGGGAAUAUUGGACAAUGGGGGCAACCCUGAUCCAGCGAUGCCGCGUGAGUGAAGAAGGCCUUCGGGUCGUAAAGCCCUUUAGGCUGGGACGAAGGGUAUGGGACGAAUAAUCCUGUACUUUGACGGUACCAGCAGAAUAAGCACCGGCAAACUCUGUGCCAGCCGCCGCGGUAACAC